rnacentral:rRNA from 1 species
CCUACGGGUGGCUGCAGUGGGGAAUAUUGGACAAUGGGGGCAACCCUGAUCCAGCCAUGCCGCGUGUGUGAAGAAGGCCCUCGGGUUGUAAAGCACUUUCAGUGAGGAAGAACGCCUGGUGGUUAAUACCCAUCAGGAAAGACAUCACUCACAGAAGAAGCACCGGCUAACUCCGUGCCAGCAGCCGCGGUAAUACGGAGGGUGCGAGCGUUAAUCGGAAUUACUGGGCGUAAAGCGCGCGUAGGUGGCUUGAUAAGCCGGUUGUGAAAGCCCGGGGCUCAACCUGGGAACGGCAUCCGGAACUGUCAAGCUAGAGUGCAGGAGAGGAAGGUAGAAUUCCCGGUGUAGCGGUGAAAUGCGUAGAGAUCGGGAGGAAUACCAGUGGCGAAGGCGGCCUUCUGGACUGACACUGACACUGAGGUGCGAAAGCGUGGGUAGCAAACAGGAUUAGAUACCCCUGUAGUC